ACUGCUCAGUAACACGUGGAUAACCUGCCCUUGGGUCCGGCAUAACCCCGGGAAACUGGGGAUAAUUCCGGAUAACGCACAUAUGCUGGAAUGCUUUAUGCGUAAAAUGGAUUCGUCUGCCCAAGGAUGGGUCUGCGGCCUAUCAGGUAGUAGUGGGUGUAAUGUACCUACUAGCCAACAACGGGUACGGGUUGUGAGAGCAAGAGCCCGGAGAUGGAUUCUGAGACAUGAAUCCAGGCCCUACGGGGCGCAGCAGGCGCGAAAACUUUACAAUGCGGGAAACCGUGAUAAGGGGACACCGAGUGCCAGCAUCAUAUGCUGGCUGUCCAGGUGUGUAAAAUACACCUGUUAGCAAGGGCCGGGCAAGACCGGUGCCAGCCGCCGCGGUAACACCGGCGGCCCGAGUGGUGAUCGUGAUUAUUGGGUCUAAAGGGUCCGUAGCCGGUUUGGUCAGUCCUCCGGGAAAUCUGAUAGCUCAACUAUUAGGCUUUCGGGGGAUACUGCCAGGCUUGGAACCGGGAGAGGUAAGAGGUACUACAGGGGUAGGAGUGAAAUCUUGUAAUCCCUGUGGGACCACCUGUGGCGAAGGCGUCUUACCAGAACGGGUUCGACAGUGAGGGACGAAAGCUGGGGGCACGAACCGGAUUAGAUACCCGGGUAGUCCCAGCCGUAAACGAUGCUCGCUAGGUGUCAGGCAUGGCGCGACCGUGUCUGGUGCCGCAGGGAAGCCGUGAAGCGAGCCACCUGGGAAGUACGGCCGCAAGGCUGAAACUUAAAGGAAUUGGCGGGGGAGCACA
rnacentral:rRNA from 1 species